UACCCGCUGAAUUUAAGCAUAUAAGUAAGUGGAGGAUUUGAAACCAAAUGGGAAUUCUUAAGUAAUGGCGAACGAACAGGAAUAAGCCUAGCGUGGAAAUUGAGGUUUAUAACCUUGAAUUGUUUUUUUCAGACGUUUUCCCAGCAAAGGUGCACAUGUAGAUGUUUUGGAAAAGGAUUUCGAGGAAGGUGACAUGCCUGUCUGAGUUGUGUGGUCCUUUGUAUACGGGUUGCGCUUCAUGAGUCACGUUCCUUGGAAUUGGAACGCAAAGUUGGUGGUAAUUUUCACCCAAGGCUAAUUAUAAGUGUGAGACCGAU
rnacentral:rRNA from 1 species